rnacentral:rRNA from 1 species
CAGCCGCCGCGGUAAUACGUAGGGUGCGAGCGUUAAUCGGAUUUACUGGGCGUAAAGCGUGCGCAGGCGGCCCGUUAAGACAGGUGUGAAAUCCCUGGGCUCAACCUAGGAAUUGCGCUUGUGACUGGCGGGCUCGAGUACGGUAGAGGGGGGUGGAAUUCCUGGUGUAGCAGUGAAAUGCGUAGAGAUCAGGAGGAACACCGAUGGCGAAGGCAGCCCCCUGGGCCUGUACUGACGCUCAUGCACGAAAGCGUGGGGAGCAAACAGGAUUAGAUACCCUGGUAGUCCACGCCCUAAACGAUGGGUACUAGCCGUUUGGUGCGCGAUAGCGCUGAGUGGCGAAGCUAACGCGUGAAGUACCCCGCCUGGGGAGUAAGGCCGCAAGGUUGAAACUUAAGGAAUUGGCGGG